GACGAACGCUGGCGGCGUGCUUAACACAUGCAAGUCGAGCGGUAAGGCCCUUUCGGGGGUACACGAGCGGCGAACGGGUGAGUAACACGUGGGUGACCUGCCCUUAGCUCUGGGAUAAGCCUCGGGAAACUGGGUCUAAUACCGGAUAUGACUCCAUGACGCAUGUUGUGGGGUGGAAAGCCUUGUGCGGCUGAGGAUGGGCCCGCGGCCUAUCAGCUUGUUGGUGGGGUGAUGGCCUACCAAGGCGACGACGGGUAGCCGGCCUGAGAGGGCGACCGGCCACACUGGGACUGAGAUACGGCCCAGACUCCUACGGGAGGCAGCAGUGGGGAAUCUUGCGCAAUGGGCGAAAGCCUGACGCAGCGACGCCGCGUGAGGGAUGACGGCCUGGUGUAAC
rnacentral:rRNA from 1 species